rnacentral:RNase_P_RNA from 1 species
UUUUGACAAACGCUGCAUUCUUUGCAAUGUAGAGGAAAGUCCAUGCUCGCACAAUCUGUGAUGAUUGUAGUGUCCGUGUACAGGGAAAAAAUAACCUGUAGUAGAGAAAUCUAACGGCGACGAGGCAACCUAAGACCUCGGUUAUGGUUGUAUUAGUCAUAAAGUGCCAUAGUGACGAUACCAUUUGGAAACAGGUGGUGUGGAACGCGGUAAACCCCACGAGCGAGAAACCCAAAUUUUGGUAGGGGAACCUAAAGGUUUGGAAACGAACGGACCUUGGGAUCGGAAACGAUAGAUAAAUGUUUGUCGCCUCUUCGGAGGAACAGAACAUGGCUUAUAA